AGCUGCGCAGUGGAUACAGAGCGAACUAAUCUUUCGCCUUUUACUAAAGAUUACCGUGUGUCCGCUGCAAUAAGCAGCAUACGCUAAUUUUUUUGCAGGGUUCCUUCUCCUUGGAAGGAU
rnacentral:snRNA from 2 species